rnacentral:rRNA from 1 species
GUAGGUGGCAAGCGUUGUCCGGAAUUAUUGGGCGUAAAGCGCGCGCAGGUGGGUUCUUUAAGUCUGAUGUGAAAGCCCCCGGGCUCAACCGGGGAGGGUCAUUGGAAACUGGGGAACUUGAGUGCAGGAGAGGAAAGUGGAAUUCCACGUGUAGCGGUGAAAUGCGUAGAUAUGUGAGGAACACCAGUGGCGAAGGCGACUUUCUGGCCUGUAACUGACACUGAGGCGCGAAAGCGUGGGGAGCAAACAGGAUUAGAUACCCUGGUAGUCCACGCCGUAAACGAUGAGUGCUAAGUGUUGGGGGGUUUCCGCCCCUCAGUGCGGCAGCUAACGCAUUAAGCACUCCGCCUGGGGAGUACGGUCGCAAAGACUG